GACGAACGCUGGCGGCGUGCUUAACACAUGCAAGUCGAACGGAAAGGCCCUGCUUUUGUGGGGUGCUCGAGUGGCGAACGGGUGAGUAACACGUGAGUAACCUGCCCUUGUCUUUGGGAUAACUUCAGGAAACUGGGGCUAAUACCGGAUAGGAGCUCCUGCUGCAUGGUGGGGGUUGGAAAGUUUCGGCGGUUGGGGAUGGACUCGCGGCUUAUCAGCUUGUUGGUGGGGUAGUGGCUUACCAAGGCUUUGACGGGUAGCCGGCCUGAGAGGGUGACCGGCCACAUUGGGACUGAGAGACGGCGCAGACUCCUACGGGAGGCAGCAGUGGGGAAUAUUGCACAAUGGGCGGAAGCCUGAUGCAGCGACGCCGCGUGCGGGAUGACGGCCUUCGGGUUGUAAACCGCUUUCGCCUGUGACGAAGCGUGAGUGACGGUAAUGGGUAAAGAAGCACCGGCUAACUACGUG
rnacentral:rRNA from 1 species